GAUGAACGCUGGCGGCGUGCCUAAUACAUGCAAGUCGAGCGAACAGACGAGGAGCUUGCUCCUCUGACGUUAGCGGCGGACGGGUGAGUAACACGUGGAUAACCUACCUAUAAGACUGGGAUAACUUCGGGAAACCGGAGCUAAUACCGGAUAAUAUAUUGAACCGCAUGGUUCAAUAGUGAAGGACGGUUUUGCUGUCACUUAUAGAUGGAUCCGCGCCGCAUUAGCUAGUUGGUAAGGUAACGGCUUACCAAGGCAACGAUGCGUAGCCGACCUGAGAGGGUGAUCGGCCACACUGGAACUGAGACACGGUCCAGACUCCUACGGGAGGCAGCAGUAGGGAAUCGUCCGCAAUGGGCGAAAGCCUGACGGAGCAACGCCGCGUGAGUGAUGAAGGUCUUCGGAUCGUAAAACUCUGUUAUUAGGGAAGAACAAAUGUGUAAGUAACUAUGCACGUCUUGACGGUACCUAAUCAGAAAGCCACGGCUAACUACGUG
rnacentral:rRNA from 1 species